rnacentral:rRNA from 1 species
UACGAAGGGGGCUAGCGUUGUUCGGAAUCACUGGGCGUAAAGCGCACGUAGGCGGAUCUUUAAGUCAGGGGUGAAAUCCCGAGGCUCAACCUCGGAACUGCCUUUGAUACUGGGGAUCUCGAGUCCGGGAGAGGUGAGUGGAACUGCGAGUGUAGAGGUGAAAUUCGUAGAUAUUCGCAAGAACACCAGUGGCGAAGGCGGCUCACUGGCCCGGAACUGACGCUGAGGUGCGAAGGCGUGGGGAGCAACAGGG